GGUUAAGCGACUAAGCGUACACGGUGGAUGCCCUGGCAGUCAGAGGCGAUGAAGGACGUGCUAAUCUGCGAUAAGCGUCGGUAAGGUGAUAUGAACCGUUAUAACCGGCGAUUUCCGAAUGGGGAAACCCAGUGUGUUUCGACACACUAUCAUUAACUGAAUCCAUAGGUUAAUGAGGCGAACCGGGGGAACUGAAACAUCUAAGUACCCCGAGGAAAAGAAAUCAACCGAGAUUCCCCCAGUAGCGGCGAGCGAACGGGGAGCAGCCCAGAGCCUGAAUCAGUGUGUGUGUUAGUGGAAGCGUCUGGAAAGGCGCGCGAUACAGGGUGACAGCCCCGUACACAAAAAUGCACAUGCUGUGAGCUCGAUGAGUAGGGCGGGACACGUGGUAUCCUGUCUGAAUAUGGGGGGACCAUCCUCCAAGGCUAAAUACUCCUGACUGACCGAUAGUGAACCAGUACCGUGAGGGAAAGGCGAAAAGAACCCCGGCGAGGGGAGUGAAAAAGAACCUGAAACCGUGUACGUACAAGCAGUGGGAGCACGCUUAGGCGUGUGACUGCGUACCUUUUGUAUAAUGGGUCAGCGACUUAUAUUCUGUAGCAAGGUUAACCGAAUAGGGGAGCCGAAGGGAAACCGAGUCUUAACUGGGCGUUAAGUUGCAGGGUAUAGACCCGAAACCCGGUGAUCUAGCCAUGGGCAGGUUGAAGGUUGGGUAACACUAACUGGAGGACCGAACCGACUAAUGUUGAAAAAUUAGCGGAUGACUUGUGGCUGGGGGUGAAAGGCCAAUCAAACCGGGAGAUAGCUGGUUCUCCCCGAAAGCUAUUUAGGUAGCGCCUCGUGAACUCAUCUCCGGGGGUAGAGCACUGUUUCGGCAAGGGGGUCAUCCCGACUUACCAACCCGAUGCAAACUGCGAAUACCGGAGAAUGUUAUCACGGGAGACACACGGCGGGUGCUAACGUCCGUCGUGAAGAGGGAAACAACCCAGACCGCCAGCUAAGGUCCCAAAGUCAUGGUUAAGUGGGAAACGAUGUGGGAAGGCCCAGACAGCCAGGAUGUUGGCUUAGAAGCAGCCAUCAUUUAAAGAAAGCGUAAUAGCUCACUGGUCGAGUCGGCCUGCGCGGAAGAUGUAACGGGGCUAAACCAUGCACCGAAGCUGCGGCAGCGACGCUUAUGCGUUGUUGGGUAGGGGAGCGUUCUGUAAGCCUGUGAAGGUGUGCUGUGAGGCAUGCUGGAGGUAUCAGAAGUGCGAAUGCUGACAUAAGUAACGAUAAAGCGGGUGAAAAGCCCGCUCGCCGGAAGACCAAGGGUUCCUGUCCAACGUUAAUCGGGGCAGGGUGAGUCGACCCCUAAGGCGAGGCCGAAAGGCGUAGUCGAUGGGAAACAGGUUAAUAUUCCUGUACUUGGUGUUACUGCGAAGGGGGGACGGAGAAGGCUAUGUUGGCCGGGCGACGGUUGUCCCGGUUUAAGCGUGUAGGCUGGUUUUCCAGGCAAAUCCGGAAAAUCAAGGCUGAGGCGUGAUGACGAGGCACUACGGUGCUGAAGCAACAAAUGCCCUGCUUCCAGGAAAAGCCUCUAAGCAUCAGGUAACAUCAAAUCGUACCCCAAACCGACACAGGUGGUCAGGUAGAGAAUACCAAGGCGCUUGAGAGAACUCGGGUGAAGGAACUAGGCAAAAUGGUGCCGUAACUUCGGGAGAAGGCACGCUGAUAUGUAGGUGAAGCGACUUGCUCGUGGAGCUGAAAUCAGUCGAAGAUACCAGCUGGCUGCAACUGUUUAUUAAAAACACAGCACUGUGCAAACACGAAAGUGGACGUAUACGGUGUGACGCCUGCCCGGUGCCGGAAGGUUAAUUGAUGGGGUUAGCGCAAGCGAAGCUCUUGAUCGAAGCCCCGGUAAACGGCGGCCGUAACUAUAACGGUCCUAAGGUAGCGAAAUUCCUUGUCGGGUAAGUUCCGACCUGCACGAAUGGCGUAAUGAUGGCCAGGCUGUCUCCACCCGAGACUCAGUGAAAUUGAACUCGCUGUGAAGAUGCAGUGUACCCGCGGCAAGACGGAAAGACCCCGUGAACCUUUACUAUAGCUUGACACUGAACAUUGAGCCUUGAUGUGUAGGAUAGGUGGGAGGCUUUGAAGUGUGGACGCCAGUCUGCAUGGAGCCGACCUUGAAAUACCACCCUUUAAUGUUUGAUGUUCUAACGUUGACCCGUAAUCCGGGUUGCGGACAGUGUCUGGUGGGUAGUUUGACUGGGGCGGUCUCCUCCUAAAGAGUAACGGAGGAGCACGAAGGUUGGCUAAUCCUGGUCGGACAUCAGGAGGUUAGUGCAAUGGCAUAAGCCAGCUUGACUGCGAGCGUGACGGCGCGAGCAGGUGCGAAAGCAGGUCAUAGUGAUCCGGUGGUUCUGAAUGGAAGGGCCAUCGCUCAACGGAUAAAAGGUACUCCGGGGAUAACAGGCUGAUACCGCCCAAGAGUUCAUAUCGACGGCGGUGUUUGGCACCUCGAUGUCGGCUCAUCACAUCCUGGGGCUGAAGUAGGUCCCAAGGGUAUGGCUGUUCGCCAUUUAAAGUGGUACGCGAGCUGGGUUUAGAACGUCGUGAGACAGUUCGGUCCCUAUCUGCCGUGGGCGCUGGAGAACUGAGGGGGGCUGCUCCUAGUACGAGAGGACCGGAGUGGACGCAUCACUGGUGUUCGGGUUGUCAUGCCAAUGGCACUGCCCGGUAGCUAAAUGCGGAAGAGAUAAGUGCUGAAAGCAUCUAAGCACGAAACUUGCCCCGAGAUGAGUUCUCCCUGACUCCUUGAGAGUCCUGAAGGAACGUUGAAGACGACGACGUUGAUAGGCCGGGUGUGUAAGCGCAGCGAUGCGUUGAGCUAACCGGUACUAAUGAACCGUGAGGCUUAACCUU
rnacentral:rRNA from 1 species